GGUAAUUCUGGAGCUAAUACAUGCAUAAAAGAUGUUUUUGUAAAAACAUUGCAUAUAUUAGUAUUAAAACCAAGCAUUCUUCGGGAUGUUUUGUGUUGAAACUGAAUAUAUCAUGCUGAUCGUAUGGUCUUGUACCGACGACAUGUCAUUCAAGUGUCUGAUCUAUCAACUUUCUAUAUAAGUAUAUAGUACUUAUAUGGUUUUGACGGAUAACGGGGUAUUAGGGUACGACUCCGGAGAAAAUGCCUGAGAAACGGCGUUUACAUCCAAGGAAGGCAGCAGGCGCGAAAAUUACCCACUCUCAGUACGAGGAGGUAGUGACGAGAAAUGACAAGAUCUAUUCCUUCGGGGAUGGAUCAUUGGAAUGGUUUGAUUUUAAAAUCAUAAAGAGAUCAGAGGGCAA
rnacentral:rRNA from 1 species